rnacentral:lncRNA from 1 species
CACCACCACCCAGACCUGCUCAGCACCUGAAACAUUCACAGCCAUGGAGAGAGAACUGUUCACUGCUACCAUCCACACUUCCGGGCCCCUUCAGCAGCAGGGUGACAAGGAAGAGGGAAAUCGACUUGGAAAAGAGGGGACCUCUGACCCAAGAGUUUGGUCAAUGCAUAUGUUGGCAGCCAACUGCACAUAGCACCAAAUACGAACUUCAAAUAGAAGAAAGCCGCAUUUGGAAGAAAGCUCAUGCACAGACUGUAAAUAUUUCAGAGCAGAUUGUGUCUCUGUAGAUUAAGUAAGUUGUGAAAGUCUGAACCUCUGCCAAAAUGUUAAGACCUUGACCUUUACA